GCGUCCAUAAUCCAGUCUGGCUAAGAUAUCUGCCUGCCACGCAGACGACUCGGGUUCAAAUCCCGAUGGACGCACCA
rnacentral:tRNA from 1 species